CUCCAACAGUCGACCUUCCACAGUGUCCUCCAGAUUCCUCCAACGAACAAACUCCUAUCAUGCCAUCCGGACAUCUCCAAUAAUGAGCUCCUCCAUUCAUCUAUCGGACUACUCCAAAUGCUCUCUGGGCUUCACUAUCAGCCGACUUUCUACAGUGAUCAACUACUCUCAUAAUCUCUUCCAGACUUCUUCCAACCACGAUCGAUUUUAUUCUGAACUUCUUCCGGACUUCGUCAAUGUCCGAGCUUCUCUAGCAGUAGGACUCUACAGUAACCAGACUCUAUCCAAGUUUCUACGAUGGUCAACCAUCUUUUGAAUUUCAUUCGAGCUCCUACAAGAGCCGGACUCCGUCCAAACUUCUACAGUGGAUGGAUCCCAGACGAACUUCUACAACGGAUGGGCUCCACCAAUCGGAUCUCUACUCCGAACUUCUAUUGCAAGCAAACUUCAUUCGAGCUUCUACAAUAAGAAGUCUCCAUC
rnacentral:lncRNA from 1 species